AGCUCCGGUGGUCUAGUGGUUAGAGCGUCAGCCUCGGAUGCAAGAGGUCGCGGGUUCGAACCCCAAGCGAGUCA